rnacentral:tRNA from 1 species
GUAUCUUUAGUAUAAUAAGUAUGAUAGAUUUAGGUUUUGUAGGUUUUUUUGGUACA